GGCCGUGCGGAGGCGGCGGAGAGCGGGCCAUGGCCAGAGCUGCGUGCUCGGUAGACUGGGGCCACCUCCAGGCCUGAGCUUUUAUCCGGACCAAAGAUGCCAGUGCCAAGCUCUUGGACCUCGCAGCCUCCGGACUGUCAGAAAUACAUUUCCUUACGACUUACCUAGUCUGCAGUAUUCAAUCAGCAGCAGAACAUAGGCUGAGACACUACUUAUGCAGUGUGUUUCUAGUUUUCUGCUGAGCAGAACAGCCGCAUAUGCAGUCAGUGGUGGAACAGCUUCGUGGUCUUCAUUAAGGUUGUGACCGUUAAAGAUCCAGAACCAUUCCCCAGUGCACACCUAUAGAGCCAGUCUGCAGAGAGUCCCCGUGAGCAGCAUUGACGAAUAACAG